UACGUAGGGUGCGAGCGUUAAUCGGAAUUACUGGGCGUAAAGCGUGCGCAGGCGGUUUGUUAAGUCUGAUGUGAAAGCCCCGGGCUCAACCUGGGAACUGCAUUGGAAACUGGCAAGCUCGAGUAUGGCAGAGGGGGGUGGAAUUCCGCGUGUAGCAGGUGAAAAUGCGUAGAGAUGCGGAGGAACACCGGUGGCGAAGGCGGCCCGACUGGAUCGGUACUGACGCUGAGGUGCGAAAGCGUGGGGAGCAAACAGG
rnacentral:rRNA from 1 species